UACGGAGGGAGCUAGCGUUGCUCGGAAUUACUGGGCGUAAAGCGCACGUAGGCGGCGAUUCAAGUCAGAGGUGAAAGCCCGGGGCUCAACUCCGGAACUGCCUUUGAAACUAGAUUGCUAGAAUCUUGGAGAGGCGAGUGGAAUUCCGAGUGUAGAGGUGAAAUUCGUAGAUAUUCGGAAGAACACCAGUGGCGAAGGCGACUCGCUGGACAAGUAUUGACGCUGAGGUGCGAAAGCGUGGGGAGCAAACAGG
rnacentral:rRNA from 1 species